rnacentral:lncRNA from 1 species
GGGGGGGGACCUCUUUGGUGGCAUGAUGGGACCACCCGAUGAUUGACGCGUGGCAUGCUCGAACCAGACACGCCCAUGAAAGGUCCAGGUGAGCCUCCUCGGAAAGGAGACGCCACAGAGCGGGGUACGUGGCCGUUUCUCACGGGGUGGAAAUUCCCUCGCCUUCUUCGCUCACUCUGGCUGGUCUUCCUACGCCAUGAAAAUUCUCAGGGAAUUCCAGUUUCUGGCGGCACUUCUUCUGUUCUUAUCCUGGACCAGCACGGCCGUCUGCUGGGUGGUUGAUGAGAUGAAAGGAUUACGAGGAACUGUGGAGCCCUAUCCUCUCUCUCUCUCUCUCUCUC